rnacentral:misc_RNA from 1 species
AUUUUUUUUCCUUACUCAAGCAUAGAAAAGAAUGAGAGGGAGAUGUGUUGAAAGAGAUAGCAUAAUGAUAUUUUGUGGUCUAAACAUUUGAAUGAGGCAAGUCAAUGGAAAUGAAUUCAAUUUUCAAGCAUAUGAUGAGUGUAAUAAUUGUAAUUCAUUGAACUGGUUGCAAUUUAAUUGAGUUCACUUAUAAUGCUCCAAGUACACUAUCAGUGAUAUGGCUCGUAUCCCUUUUGUGUGUCAAUCUCCUUAAAUUUCUCAUAUUGUUGCUGUAAUAUCUGGG